rnacentral:sRNA from 1 species
GCUUGACGCAUUUCUAGUGACAUUGACGCAUUUCUCGUGCCUUGACGCUUUUCUCGAUACA